rnacentral:rRNA from 1 species
CAGUCGCCGCGGUAAAACGAAGGGGGCUAGCGUUGUUCGGAUUUACUGGGCGUAAAGCGCACGUAGGCGGACUUUUAAGUCAGGGGUGAAAUCCCGGGGCUCAACCCCGGAACUGCCUUUGAUACUGGAAGUCUUGAGUAUGGUAGAGGUGAGUGGAAUUCCGAGUGUAGAGGUGAAAUUCGUAGAUAUUCGGAGGAACACCAGUGGCGAAGGCGGCUCACUGGACCAUUACUGACGCUGAGGUGCGAAAGCGUGGGGAGCAAACAGGAUUAGAUACCCCUGUAGUCCCUGUCUCUUAUAC